CCCUCUGUGCCUCAGUUCCCCAUCUGUAAAAUGGGAUCAGUACAUUAAAGACUGAGAGGUGCUCAGACAGGCAGAAAGGUCUAGAUAGAUGCCUAAAUACCUUUGAGGAUGUGGGCUGUUGCUCCUGAAAUGAAUGGGACAGGAGACACUGGAGUAGCUUGUGGAUGGCAUUAAAACACAUAUUGGUUACAUGAUUGCAGGGAGACUGUGUUGCAUUGAUUGUUCUUUUACAUCUAUCGGCAUGGUGCCUGUUACGCUUUUAGAUUGUGUCUCAGUCUCAUACUGAGUCCUGUGGUUUGAUUAAAGAUCAUUAAGCAGCAGUGGUAUGAAACAUCACUGGAUGUCAGGUUUCAGAGUGGUAUCCGUGUUAGGGGGAGGAGCUUUUGGUUUGCACGGGGUACUUAAUACACAGGACAGUAAGACACAAAUUCUAAGUCACAGCACCUUUAAAGGGAGAAUGGGUUAGAAGGUGUUUCCAUGGGAUUCAAAGACACACUGUAGCUGGUGUCAAAGCCCCUCAGCUCCAUGUUGUGCUUCUUAUGUUCCCACAAAGCAAGAGAAGAGAAGAAGAAAGCUUGCUGUAGUCACUUCAUAUUGCUGAGUCAUUAACUUCUUUUUGCUGAGUCAUUCUGCAGCUGUGUCUGACAAACCAGGAGAAGACAAGCAGGACAGCUCAAGUCCCACCCAGUGAUCUCUGUCAGGAUGGGAUAUUGUGCUAGGUCAUUGUGCAGCUGUUUUUGUCUGCAUUUGAACCUUGUUCUGCAAGUGUUUGCUACCCCAGACACUGCAAGGAGGCGCAUGAAAGCCAGAAAGUGAAAGUGAUUUAUCAUCUUCCAUUGUUGUAUGCAGUGUUGUUAUAACCAUGUUGGUCCAUGGCUAUUAAGAGAGAGCACUUUCAGGCCACACAGAGCUCUUCUGAAGCAGCUCAAAAGCUUGUCUCUCUCACCAGUAGAAGCGAGUCCAAUAAAAGAUAUCAUCUCACACACUAGGUCUCUCUAAAGUGAGUUAGUUUAACUGUCCAAGCUGAGUGAAAUACAAGAAAGCAGGGCCUAGAAAAAUUGUGAAAUGAAUCAUUUAAAAAAAAAAACCUUUUGAUUUUCAUAAUCUUAGGUGUUACAUGUUACACAGGCAGGAAAUUGGGUUUUAAGUAAGAUUUAUUAUUUGAUAGCAUGCUAUGUUAAUGGCUUUUUGCACUGGGGAAAUGAGGUGGAGUCCCCUGUGUAACUAAUAAUAUUAACACAUCUAUAGUGCAUUUGUUUUUUAAAGCUACAGCAUUGAGAUUCAGGAUCUGGUUUUCAGAAGGAGCUCAGCACACUGGAUGCUGAAUUCUUUUGAAAAUCUGGCCUCAAGCAUGAUUGCUGAACUCCCCAAAAUCUGAUCCUUUGGGGUUGUCUUUCAGAGGGGCUGUGCCUCCAGAACUCCAGAUGAAGUCAAUAGCUGCAGGUGCUCAGGGCCUCUGGCAAUCAGGCUCAAAUUUAUAAAGCAUCACAAAACCCCUCCUCUGGAGGUAAAAAGUAGCCCUGUUUUCAGGUAGGAAAAAGGGAGGCAGAGACCUCAUAUGUUUUGCCCAAAACCAGUCUAGUUGCAUUAUUCUGUGCUGCAGGUGGACUUGAAGAAUGCAUCACAAAUUAUUUUUUUUCCUCCUCCUGUAUUUUUCUUGCAGCUGGUUUACAUACAUAUGGUUGCAUGGUAAUGUUUGAAAUAAACGCAACAUAAUUGCUA